rnacentral:rRNA from 1 species
AACGAACGCUGGCGGCAUGCCUAACACAUGCAAGUCGAACGAGACCUUCGGGUCUAGUGGCGCACGGGUGCGUAACGCGUGGGAACCUGCCUUUAGGUUCGGAAUAACUCAGAGAAAUUUGAGCUAAUACCGGAUGAUGUCUUCGGACCAAAGAUUUAUCGCCUUUAGAUGGGCCCGCGUAAGAUUAGCUAGUUGGUGGGGUAAAGGCCUACCAAGGCGACGAUCUUUAGCUGGUCUGAGAGGAUGAUCAGCCACACUGGGACUGAGACACGGCCCAGACUCCUACGGGAGGCAGCAGUGGGAAUAUUGGACAAUGGGCGAAAGCCUGAUCCAGCAAUGCCGCGUGAGUGAUGAAGGCCUUAGGGUGUAAAGCNUUUUACCCGAGAUGAUAAUGACAGUAUCGGGAGAAUAAGCUCCGGCUAACUCCGUGCCAGCAGCCGCGGUAAUGUGACUACUG